AAUAAUGAUAAAGCAUAUCAAAAUGGUCUAAAAAUGCUUUAAAGCGUUUCCUUUGAAAGCCAGAAAAUUAUGCAAAAGUGAAGAUUUUCUUCAAGUAUUUUAGCUCGUGUUUGCACAGAUUGAAUUAGAAGCCAAAACAGACGAGCCUGGUUCACCGUUACGUGCUCCUACAACGGAACGUGGGCUUGACACAGCUUGCAAAGAUACUUGUUUUGGUAUCUUGAAAUUGCAAAUGUGGGAACGAAGAUUUGAUGGCAGCAAGGGCAAGAUUGUAUUGGAUGUCACAAGUAACAUGGCGGCAUUGGAAGUUGGAGGAGGGCCUUGGUUUAACACCUGGAAGGGAGAAACUACCACCCCGGAGAUCCUCAAGCGUGCUCUUACAACACCUAUUGAUGUGGAACAAGCUUUUAACUUGCUUCCACUCUUCAAACCUCCUGGCUUGUAGACGACAAUUACGACAAUUACUGCACGUUGUGCUGUGGAAGGAAUGAAACGAACCAUCAAGGUCGUGCUGGUUCAGGCAACCUUCGUAGCCUAUAGUUUAGUCCUCGAACUUCUAAAGUUUUCACGAACAAUUUGCAGGGUAGAGCUACUUUUCUAUGUUUGAGUUCAGCUCAUUUUUAGUUAAAAACAUGUGAAAAAUAGUUUUUAAUUGGGAAGCAUAUAUAAAUAUCAACUCUCGUGGACCUUGAAUGGUUGUUAUUAUAAUUGUUAGA